AGGGAGUAUUAGUAAUGGGCGAAAGCCUGAACUAGCAACGCCGCAUGUGCGAAGAAGGCCUUCGGGUUGUAAAGCACUUUUUGAGAGGAUGAGGAAGGACGGUACUCUCAGAAUAAGUCUCGGCUAACUACGUGCCAGCAGCCGCGGUAACACGUAGGAGGCGAACGUUAUCCGGAUUUACUGGGCGUAAAGCGCGUGUAGGUGGUUUGGUAAGUAGGGCGUGAAAGCUCCUGGCUCAACUGGGAGAGGCCGUUCUAAACUGCCGAACUAGAGGAUGGUAGAGGGAGGUGGAAUUCCGGGUGUAGCGGUGGAAUGCGCAGAUAUCCGGAGGAACACCAGUGGCGAAAGCGGCCUCCUGGACCAUUCCUGACACUCAGACGCGAAAGCUAGGGUAGCAAACGG
rnacentral:rRNA from 1 species